rnacentral:rRNA from 1 species
UGAACGCUAGCGGCAGGCUUAACACAUGCAAGGUCGAGGGGCAGCACGGGUAGCAAUACCGUGGUGGCGACCGGCGCAAGGGUGCGUAACGCGUGAGCAACAUGCCCUAUACAGGGGGAUAAUCCAGGGAAACUUGGUCUAAUAUCCCAUAGUAUUUAGAGGUGGCAUCACCACUAAAUUAAAGCUUCGGUGGUAUAGGAUUGGCUCGCGUGACAUUAGCUGGAUGGUGGGGUAACGGCUCACCAUGGCGAUGAUGUCUAGGGGUUCUGAGAGGAAGACCCCCCACACUGGGACUGAGACACGGCCCAGACUCCUACGGGAGGCAGCAGUGAGGAAUAUUGGACAAUGGAUGGAAAUCUGAUCCAGCCAUGCCGCGUGCAGGAAGACGGCCCUAUGGGUUGUAAACUGCUUUUAUAUGGGAGCAAUAAGGUUUACGCGUAGACCGAUGAGAGUACCAUAUGAAUAAGCAUCGGCUAACUCCGUG